GAAAGGGCUAAAGAUGGUUUCCAA
rnacentral:siRNA from 1 species